UUUCUGUAGGUGAACCUGCAGAAGGAUCAGAGUAGUUUUGAGGGGUGGCAGGUUCGCCUGCUGCUCGGAUUGCACUCUCCACACACCGAGUGAAUGGGUGCACAGCCCGCAUCACACACACGCAAGGAGUAAAUGUAUGGACACGUCGCUUGGCGACACGAAUAACACAAUCGUUGACAACGGAUCUCUUGGUUCUCCCAUCGAUGAAGAACGCAGC
rnacentral:misc_RNA from 1 species